rnacentral:rRNA from 1 species
CCUACGGGAGGCAGCAGUGGGGGAUAUUGCACAAUGGGGGGAACCCUGAUGCAGCGACGCCGCGUGGGUGAAGAAGCGCCUCGGCGCGUAAAGCCCUGUCAGCAGGGAAGAAAAUGACGGUACCUGAAGAAGAAGCCCCGGCUAACUACGUGCCAGCAGCCGCGGUAAUACGUAGGGGGCAAGCGUUAUCCGGAUUUACUGGGUGGAAAGGGGGCGCAGACGGCGAUGCAAGCCAGGAGUGAAAGCCCGGGGCCCAACCCCGGGACUGCCCUUGGAACUGCGUGGCUGGAGUGCAGGAGGGGCAGGCGGAAUUCCUGGUGUAGCGGUGAAAUGCGUAGAUAUCAGGAGGAACACCGGUGGCGAAGGCGGCCUGCUGGACUGCAACUGAUGUUGAGGCCCGAAAGCGUGGGGAGCAAACAGGAUUAGAUACCCUUGUAGUC